rnacentral:sRNA from 1 species
CACUAGGGAAAGCAGGCUAAGUUCGCGCCGUCCUGGCGGCAGGCUAGGCUCACAAAGCGCAACUUCCUGUUGCCUGUUGCUUCACCUCCACUAGUACUUCCUGGUACGUCGCAACGCCUGCAUGCAUGACCCACAUCCUGUAGG